GCUCUUUUUGCGGACAGAUGUGGGCAUUGCUGCCGGGGCGGGGGACACAGGAGCCCGUCCCUGCCCCGCGUACCUGGCCGCAGAGAAAGGGUGUCCGUGGGGUAAAACAUUCAGGAAUGUGAGGGAAUUGCGGGCGGGAGCCCUGGGAGCGCAGCGCAGCUCCCCGCGCUGCCUGCGCGGCUCUGUCCUGCACGCCCGCCCUCGCUCCCCCGCCGCCAAAGCGAAUUUGUUGCAUUUCCUCCUUUGAUUGUUUAGUCAGAGGUUUUGCCAACUUCCUGACGGUUCGUUUUCUGAUUCUGAAAAAAAAAAAAAAGAAAAAAGAAAAAAAAGAAAGAAAGAAAAAAAAAGAACCGCAUUUCCUUUUUGACUUAAGAGGGAGAGAGAGAGAGAGAGAAGCGGAGGCUGGGGGCUGGUGGACGCAUCGAGCUAUCCCUGGUCCCGAUUGUGAACUUGGCAGUGGCUGUUUGGCGUGAAUAACCCCAGUGGCCACUAACCAGGAACACCUGCUGGCCCCGUUACCCGGAACGGGAGGAGAAGAUGGGCAUCUCCAGCGGAAUUCCAGCGCGGAAUAUGGAAGUGGUUAAAGGAAGACCUUCCCCGCUCGGGGUAGCAGAGAUCUGAACCUUUAAAUUGCAGCCAUUCCCGGCCUGACGAUAAUUGAUUCACAGGCCGAGAUGACCUACUUGAUGCUGGAGCUGGAUUUGAUUUGAAUCCUGGACUGUGAUUCCAUGGAGGGAUGGAUCUAUGGAUCUGGAUCACACUCAGAUCACUCCACAGUUAAUUUUUAUGUGGACCAAAUUAAUUCUUGGGCUCUCUGGUGAAGGGAGAAAAGUAGGGAGUGAUUCACAGCAGGACCUCAGCUUCCUUCUCACUGAAUCACCAGCUUUUCCUGAAGCCAUGGCAGGAGCUGUGCUGGAAAUGGUGCCGUGGGAGUCUGUAUCCCAGGCCAGGAGACCAGACAUCAAAUCCCUGGUGCAUCUUGGCAGCUGGGAAUGCUCCAGCAAACCAGGAAUGCUCCAGCAAACCCUGCCAAAGCAGCUGCUGGGAGCACAUCACCAGCAGUGUAAAUGGCUCCAGAACUUACUUUCUGCACCAGGCUUCCGACUUUCAUCCUCAGAUUUGCACCCUGAUGGAUUUUUAAAUGGUCCGUGAGGAGCAGGAUUUCAUGUCUGUGAUCAGGUUGCCCCUACCAGCAGGGUGGGCUGGACUCAGAGGUUUUAGGUAUAGCCCAGCACCCAAAAAACUACAUUAGACACAGCUCCUGGAGGUCCUCCAAAAGAAUAAACUCGUUUGCAAUCAGAGUUUAUUUUCUCAGAUUCUUGGAAGAAGGAAAAACACUCUAUUUUUCUUUCUUCAGGUAAGUGAAUACAGAGGCGUUUUUUUCAGUGGGAUUUUGGGGUCAUCAACCCCAAAAUUUGAUUACUCAAAGACCAUUUGGAAAACUCCCUGUUGCAGGUUGCUGAUGGCUUUGUGUGUGACAGAGCUGUUCCCAACAAAGUCAGUGGAAAUAGAAUAUCUGUUUUCUCUUCUUGUUCCUCCAGCCUUCAGUUCCUCAAAUGUCACAUGGAAAUUUUGAGGGACGCAUGCCUGGAAUUCAGGGCCACCAGAGAUCUGGAAACUGAGGGGCAAAUCCUGAACUUCUGAAAUCUCAGGGGUUUUUGGCUGUUCAGCAUUUUCCAUGCAAUCAUCUAAUCCUAGUCCCAAGCAUCUCAAUGUCUUCAAUGGAUUUUUACUCCAAGGCCAAGCUUCACUUUAGAAAAAUUAAUGGAUACAGCUUCUGCUGGAGGCUGUUUGACAUCACUAAGGCCAUCAGCUUCUGAAAGGCUUCAAGAUAUUUGAAUAGAAUUAGAUCUAGGUAUUACUCCACCUUUUUAGAGCCCUUGACUCUUGAUAUAUUGUGAAGGAAGUGAGGAGAGCUGAAGAAUAUAUUUUGAAAUGGAAGAGCAUCUUUCCUAUCCUUGUUUUCCAGUGAAGAUCCCAUCUGCUGUGUGGUUAAAAAUGCAAUUUCCCCAGAAAAUGUCUCAUUUCGAGUAUGAUUUGAGUGGCAUGACACCCCCUUCCCAACCCUCCCUCCAUCCCUGACACCCUGUUUUGAUCCUGGAUCUAAACACAGUCCUGCUUUCACUUUAUUUAACCCUGAUUUCAUCACUGUUGAUCCAAAAGGAAAAUUUCCACCAGCACACUGUAAGCUUUACUGCUCGUGACUUCUUAAUCAUGCAGAUUUUAUUUCAUGUUAAGCUAGCAACUGAACUCUUCUAAUAAACAGAGCAAAAUCUAAUUAGGCUACUGGAGGGAAAUAGAGGAAUUUAUACUCCUCCAGACACACAGACAUUAGGAAUUCUGCCUCAAACAUACAGCCAGGCUUCCUGGCAGCCGUCUCCCUCAAAGAGUGGCUAAUGAUCCUACUAAUUUGCACUUAGCUGAUACUGCGAGGAGUUCCUCACAGAUGGAAAAUAUACUUCUUCCAUGAGAUCAUACAGGGCAGCAGGGCCUCGUGGAUUGUGCACAGAGAAAAAGAAAUCCCAGCUCCUAAUCCCACGGCUCCCACUCCUCGCUGUGUGGUCUCUCAGUUUCUCCAUGCACAAUCUCGCUGUUCAUUCAUGGGCCCAUGGUGAUUACUCACUCCUUUUUCUGUGUUCCCAAAGCAGAAGGCACAAUUAAAGCACUGAAACGCUGUGGUUAGAGACUCAACACUACCUCCAGAGCAUCUGUGGAGAAGAUUGACAGCACAGAUGAAUUUGGCUGAUUUUUGGGCUGGUAAUUAUUUCAAGUAUUGCUGGGGAGAGGGAGAUCAGAAACCACCUGGCCUUGGGAAAGCCGACACCCACGGAAGGGGACACAUCUCCCCACAAGAGGCCACAGAGCCAGGCUACACCCAACCCCUCAGGGACGUCUCCAUGCACACAAUCACCCCUGCACACCCAUGGUCCCUCCAAAGGGGGAUGCUCCCCAGAGUGGCGGUGGAGUCACCAUCCCUGGAUGCAUCCAAAGAGCAUGACACUUUGGGAUAUGGUGCAGUGGGCAUGGUGGUGAUAGCUCAAAGGUUAGACUGGAUGGUUUGGGCGGUCUUUUCCAACCUUUCCAGCCUGUGAUUCCAUGAUACCACCUCAAGAUUUUACCCCUUACAACCGAAAGCAGCUCAAAAAGGCAGUGGGGUUAAUCUUGGCCUCUCUGCUGGUUUGGGCUGGGGUUGAUGUAUCGUGUGAGGGGCAGGGAGUCCUCCAGCACAUUCCCUCACUCUUCCCUGCAAAGGACAUCCCAGAUGUCCCACAGCAGUCCCAGCUGUCCACUGGCAUUGGGAACCAUGGGAUAUGUGUCCAGAAUUGGCUGGGAAAGCGUGAAUACCAUGGAAGCAACAGGCAUGCAACCAAGGCAUGCAACCCUCCCCAGGAACUGGUGCUCAAGGCUCUUCCCCAAGCCUGUGUUUUCCAGCAGCCUUUUUUCAGAAUGAGAGCUGUCAUGUCCUUUCCGAAGACUGUGUAGCCCUUCCAUUCUUGUUGGAAUUGCUCCUAUAAAACCAUCAACCAAUCCUUUGGCUUGAAUGAAGGGCAGGGAGAGAACACAGGAGUAAAUGUUAAUAGAAAACCAGAACAAAAGGGGGUUGUUCAUAAGCAAAUAGAAUCAUAAAAUUAUAGGAUCACA